rnacentral:tRNA from 1 species
GGUUUUAUAGUGUAGCAGUUAGCACGGCUGCCUUACACGUGGAAGGUCCUGGGUUCGCGCCCCAGUGGAGCCA